UUUACCCGGUAAAGCGAAUGAUUAGAGGUCUUGGGGCCGAAACGAUCUCAACCUAUUCUCAAACUUUCAAUGGGUAAGGGGGCCGGCUCGCUGGCGUGGAGCCGCGCCGUGGAAUGCGAGUGCUCAGUGGGCCACUUUUGGUAAGCAGAACUGGCGCUGCGGGAUGAACCGAACGCCGGGUUAAGGCGCCCGAUGCCGACGCUCAUCAGAGCCCAGAAAAG
rfam:Mesitornis unicolor contig107704, whole genome shotgun sequence.